GAUGAACGCUGGCGGCGUGCCUAAUACAUGCAAGUCGAGCGAACAGACGAGGAGCUUGCUCCUCUGACGUUAGCGGCGGACGGGUGAGUAACACGUGGAUAACCUACCUAUAAUACUGGGAUAACUUCGGGAAACCGGAGCUAAUACCGGAUAAUAUAUUGAACCGCAUGGUUCAAUAGUGAAAGACGGUUUUGCUGUCACUUAUAGAUGGAUCCGCGCCGCAUUAGCUAGUUGGUAAGGUAACGGCUUACCAAGGCAACGAUGCGUAGCCGACCUGAGAGGGUGGACAGCCACACAGGAACUGAGACACGGUCCAGACGCCAAAGGGAGGCACCAGUAGGGAAGCUUCCGCAAUGGGCGAAAGCCUGACGGAGCAACGCCGCGUGAGUGAUGAAGGUCUUCGGAUCGUAAAACUCUGUUAUUAGGGAAGAACAAAUGUGUAAGUAACUAUGCACGUCUUGACGGUACCUAAUCAGAAAGCCACGGCUAACUACGUG
rnacentral:rRNA from 1 species